GAAAAAGAAGAAAAAAAAAUGCGCAAAAUGACACUGCUGUGUUGAAACAAGAACAGAGAAGAGGAGAAGAAAGAGAGGAGGAAGAAGAAGAAGAGGAAGAAGAAGAAGAAGAAGAGGAGAGAGAGAGAGAGAGAGAGAUACCCAAUUGUUUAGUGCUGUGAGUGUUUCGCUUUUGCGUGAGGUCUAUGAGUGUUUCUUGUGACGUAGGCUGGUAGGGUUUUAAUUUUAUUUGGGUUAAAAAACAAUUAGAAAGGAAAAGGAAAAAAAAAAUUGCCGUUUCUUCACAGAGGCAUUGCCUCAGCGCCUCAGAGCCUCUCGCCCGUGUCGCUGGGGCGCUCGCCUUCUCAAUGCCAAGCCAGGCAGUGCUAGGCGAGGCGCUAGAGGUCGCCUCACCUCAUCGCCUCGCUCGCCUUUAACAACACUUAAUUUUUCAUUUAUAUUCAAAAUUUG
rnacentral:misc_RNA from 1 species